GAGCUUGCUCUCUGGGUGACGAGCGGCGGACGGGUGAGUAAUGUCUGGGAAACUGCCUGAUGGAGGGGGAUAACUACUGGAAACGGUAGCUAAUACCGCAUAACGUCUACGGACCAAAGUGGGGGACCUUCGGGCCUCACGCCAUCAGAUGUGCCCAGAUGGGAUUAGCUAGUAGGUGGGGUAAUGGCUCACCUAGGCGACGAUCCCUAGCUGGUCUGAGAGGAUGACCAGCCACACUGGAACUGAGACACGGUCCAGACUCCUACGGGAGGCAGCAGUGGGGAAUAUUGCACAAUGGGCGCAAGCCUGAUGCAGCCMUGCCGCGUGUGUGAAGAAGGCCUUCGGGUUGKAAAGCACUUUCAGC
rnacentral:rRNA from 1 species